AUGCCCCUCUAUCUGCAACUCUGCCUCUCUCUGUGCCUCUCUUCUUCUCUCAGCCUCCAUCUCUGCAUCUCUGCACCUCUGCUUCUAUGCCUCUCUCUGCCACGCUCCCCAGCCCUCUGCCUCUAUGAACCUCUCUCUGCCAAUCUAUCUGCCUUUCUCUGCCUAUCUCUGCCUCUGCCACUCUGCCUCUCACAGCCUCUCUCUAUGCCUCUCAGGGCCUGUCUCUCUGCUUCCCUCUCUUCCCCUCUGUCUCCUCUAACUCUCACAGCCACUUUCUGUAAAUCUCAGGGCUUCUCUCUCUGCCUCCCUGUCUGUUUCUCUGCCUAUCUCGGCUUCUGCCACUAUAUGACUCUCAUGGCCUCUCUCUACCUCUCUCUGUGUGUCUCUCUGCCUCUCUCUCUGGGUCUCUCUGCCACUCACAUUGCCUCUCUGUAUGCUUCUCUCCACCUCUGUCGACCUGCCUCUAAGUCUUUCUGCAUCUCUCUGCCACUCUUCCACACUCUGACUCUCCAUCUGCCUCUCUACCCUCUCUCUGCAUCUCUGCCUUUCUCUCACCCACUCUCUCUGCCUUUCUUCCUCUCUCUCAGCUUCAGUCUCUGCCUGCCUCUCUACCUCUCUGAACCUCUGACUCUCUGUCUCUCUCUCUGUCUCUCUCUCUCUCUCUGUCUGUCUCUCUCUGCCUCUCUGUCUGCUUCUCACCACCUCUCUCUCUGCUUUACUCUCUGCCUCUCUGACUGACUCACUCUGCCUCCCACAGCCUCUCUUUACCCCUCUGACUCUCUCUAUGAUUCUGGCUCUGCAUCUCUCUGCCUGCCGCUCAGGCUCUCUGAGCAUCUGCCUCUAUGUCUCUCUCUGCCACCAUCUGCCUCCCUCUACCUGUCUUUCUGCCUCUCUGUCCCUGUCUCUGCCUCUCUCUUC
rnacentral:lncRNA from 1 species